rnacentral:rRNA from 1 species
UACGGGGGGGGCAAGCGUUGUUCGGAAUUACUGGGCGUAAAGGGUUCGUAGGUGGCUUGUUAAGUCAGACGUGAAAUCCCUCGGCUCAACCGGGGAACUGCGUCUGAGACUGAUGAGCUCGAGUGCAGGAGAGGAACGCGGAAUUCCAGGUGUAGCGGUGAAAUGCGUAGAUAUCUGGAGGAACACCGGUGGCGAAGGCGGGUCUCUGGGCCGAUACUGACGCUGAGGAGCGAAAGCGUGGGGAGCAAACAGG